AUUGAAAGAGUAGCUAUUUCGAGUGGUAGAUCAGUAGCCUUGACCAAUAACAGGCUCAGGGACAGUGCCCAGGCCCAGCGGUUAAGCCCUAGGACAAACAAA